UGGACCUGAGCCAUCAGCAGCUGAACGUGGACGGGGCGAGACUUAAGAAGUGGCAAGAGGAAGAUGCUGCACAAUUCACCUCGGUCAUGUGACUAUGCUGAACUACAAAAGUGUCUGAGAAAUAUGUGCCAGAGUUCAGUCUCCAUUGCUGUUCCUGAAGUCUUUUCUUGGUGACUUUGAAAUAUCACCACUGUACAAAGCAUUAGUUAAGUGUUCAGAUGGGCUAACUGAGGCAACAAAACAGACAAGCAAAAUGAAUCCUUAAUGAAACAUCACAACAUAUUGAAUAAAUAUGAGAGAAAUUAAAUACAAA